rnacentral:rRNA from 1 species
AUUGAACGCUGGCGGCAUGCCUUACACAUGCAAGUCGAACGGCAGCACGGGUGCUUGCACCUGGUGGCGAGUGGCGAACGGGUGAGUAAUACAUCGGCACAUGUCCUGUAGUGGGGGAUAGCCCGGCGAAAGCCGGAUUAAUACCGCAUACGAUCUACGGAUGAAAGCGGGGGGCCUUCGGGCCUCGCGCUUUAGGGUUGGCCGAUGGCUGAUUAGCUAGUUGGUGGGGUAAAGGCCUACCAAGGCGACGAUCAGUAGCUGGUCUGAGAGGACGACCAGCCACACUGGGACUGAGACACGGCCCAGACUCCUACGGGAGGCAGCAGUGGGGAAUUUUGGACAAUGGGCGAAAGCCUGAUCCAGCAAUGCCGCGUGUGUGAAGAAGGCCUUCGGGUUGUAAAGCACUUUUGUCCGGAAAGAAAUCCUUGGCCCUAAUACGGUCGGGGGAUGACGGUACCGGAAGAAUAAGCACCGGCUAACUACGUG